rnacentral:rRNA from 1 species
UACGGAGGGGGCUAGCGUUGUUCGGAAUCACUGGGCGUAAAGCGCACGUAGGCGGACCAUUAAGUCGGGGGUGAAAUCCCGGGGCUCAACCCCGGAACUGCCUUCGAUACUGGCGGCCUGGAGGUGGAGAGAGGCGAGUGGAAUUCCGAGUGUAGAGGUGAAAUUCGUAGAUAUUCGGAGGAACACCAGUGGCGAAGGCGGCUCGCUGGAUCGAUGCUGACGCUGAGACGCGAAAGCGUGGGGAGCAAACAGG